rnacentral:tRNA from 3 species
GGGCCUGUAGCUCAGGGGUUAGAGCAGGGGACUCAUAAUCCCUUGGUCGUCGGUUCGAAACCGACCGGGCCCACCA